GGAUCCGACCUUGCCCUACCCGGUCUGGUGGGGGCUACCGGUCUGGUGGGGGAGGUGGAUACUGGAUUGGAGUGAUCGGUAGGGAUGGAGGGUGUGUAAGUGGAGAGAGCCCUCACCCUAUUACCCAGGAAGGGCACUUCACACUGGACUCACCCCACCCAGAGAUGCCCAUCCACCUCUGCCCAGCCCUGCCUUUCUCCCCUGCUGCCACACGGAGGCGACAGAGCAACCCUUCCACAGCUGCCUCUGGACGUUCUCCCAUCAGCAACGUGGAUGGGUGGCUGAGGUGGGAUCUGUGCCUUCUGCAGAUGAUCCCGGCCUGGUGAUGGCCCUCUUUUGGGCUGAGACUCCUCACGCGGAAGAUGAUGGAGGUGGAUGUUGUGAGUCCUCUGGUCCUCCAGCACUUCAAUCCAGCCUCCCACGGCAAGCCAGUUCUCGGCAACUGUGUGCCUGGGGUUCCACUCCCAGCACCUGCUUCUGGAUGGCCUGGGGGAUCCACCUGGGUGCCCCUCCACUCCGGGUCCCAGGGGAGACUGACACCCACCCAGGCAACCACCUGCUUGUUACAGAGCCCUGCAGGAGGCAGCUCACCACCCACGAGGAGGGACUUAGGCAGCGGACUUGCUGAGGGCAGAGCCUUGUGAGGCAAAUAUUAUCACACUAAUUUCACAAAGGAGGAAGUCAAAGCUGGCCCUGCAGUAUGAAGACUCAAGCCCAGACUUGCUGGCUCCUGCCUGCAUCUCCCUCCACCUGGGUCUCCUGUCUCCCUACCUGCGGAAAGCUCACACUCUGAAUCAUUGUGCAUGGCUCUUACCCCGCCCACCCCAUCCUUGCGGCUGCUCACCUCCUGCAUCACCUGUGCCCACUCAACAGCACACAUGCCCACAAGCUCACAUGCACCAAGAUGGGCGCACUGGGUGCACGGGUGCACAUGCAUAUUCCAGUCCUUACUGCUGCUUAUCAGCUGUGUGACCUUGAGCAAGUCACUUAACCUCUCUGAGCCUCGGUUUUCUCAUCUCACAGGGGUUGUUAUGAGAAUUAAAUAAGAUACUGAGUGUAACAUUUCUAGUACCUUCCCUGGGCAUAGUGCUCAAUAAAGAUUAUCUACUUUUUAAACUUUAGCUAUUUUUAUUUCAUCAUUAUUGUAUAUGUGCAU
rnacentral:lncRNA from 10 species